rnacentral:rRNA from 1 species
UACGUAGGGUGCGAGCGUUAAUCGGAAUUACUGGGCGUAAAGCGUGCGCAGGCGGUUCGUUGUGUCGGCGGUGAAAGCCCCGGGCUCAACCUGGGAAUGGCCGUUGAAACUGUCGGGCUUGAGUAUGGGAGAGGUGAGUGGAAUUUCCGGUGUAGCGGUGAAAUGCGUAGAUAUCGGAAGGAACACCUGUGGCGAAAGCGGCUCACUGGACCAUAACUGACGCUGAGGCGCGAAAGCUAGGGGAGCAAACAGG